CUGCUCUGUGCAGCUUGAUUUCGGGUGUUAAAAUCACAGCCAGCAGUUUUUUCUGGCGGCGGAGCUCCUCUUCGUAUCCAGACUCUGUUCUAUUUUCGACCAGGUCCGUCAUUACCGCAGCCAGCAGCCGCCGAUUAAAUGGUAGACAGUCAGCCUUUUCCAUUUCAAAGAGACAAAGAUGUUAAUUACCAGCAGGACCCCCAGACUGAACAAACAUUCACCCUCUCUCCUUGGCUGGAGAGUGUCGAAAUUGUCACCUCAGUCUUAAGGGUGGCCAAAAAGACAUUGUGAACUCAACUCAAGAGGGCGCUAGGAGCACUCAUCCUUGAAAAAGACCCCAGCCAUAAACCCUCAGAGUGGAUGAUUCUUCCUGUAAUUCUCUUUACGUGCAGAGUAAAGAGAAUAACUGCGAAUGAUUUAAUUUCAGGUUUAAUGGACACUUCACAAGGAGUUUCUGUCUGUACACAACACAUCUUUGAGCCAGCUGAUUUUUCAGGGUAUGGAUGUUCUUCUUACUUUCUUCUUUUGCUUUUAAGUCAGCUGGAAUUAUGUUUUUAAGUUAUAAAAUCCAACCAGACAGACGAUUAACAAUGUGUCAGUCUAGGCGUGGCUCGUCUUGGUGGUGGUGUUCCUGUAAAAUUAGGAGUCUCUAAUAAUUCAGAUGAACAUUUAAUCCAAGCUGUUUGGGUUUGUGGUUUCUUGAUUGCUGUUUUUAUUCAGUGGUUGGUUGGUCAAAUUAAUUCUGAUGAAUUUGGUCUGCUGGCUAAGUGAGUAAGUUAAGAAGAUUAGACUAUUUUAAAUUUGCCUGUUUGUUGUCCUUGUUUGAUGUCACUUUGAAACCUACCAGAUGAGGAAAAUAUGAAUUUUUUCUCACUUUGUAAAGCUUAGCUGACACUUCACUGAUCAUCAACCAUGAGCUCCUACUCCUGCUCCUAGUAUUUCAAGGCUGGAAAUGUAAAACAUGUGAGUUUAAAGAUGUGAAUAAUUAAAUAAUGUAGCUGAACCUGUUGUGUUUAGUGUGCACAUAAAUGAUGAGAGAACAACAUUGUUUUGAGAUUUUCUUAAAAAGUGAUAUGAGUGGGUCUAUCUAGGCAUUUUCAAAAGCAAAUAUUUUAGUACUCAAACAAAAGUAACAUUUUAGUUAGCGAAUUUCCUUGUAUCUAAGUAGUUAUUGACUGAAUGUCUCUAUAAUUUGAAGUCGUAAUGUCUUCAUCCUCACUAUCUACCCUCUCUGUCCCCAUUAUCUACUUCAUAAUCUUCUAAACAAUCAAUUUUGGUCAUAAACCUAAUACAUUUUACUGUUAAUGUUAUUUAAGUUUAAGAGAGGUCUAAUGUGACAUCAAAAAGCCAGGACUCAAUACAAGUAUCUUCGGAAUUAAAAUAAGUGAGAUAACACACCUCGCCCCACUGCAUUGCAUAAUUGUAGAGCACAGGACAGGAUACAGAAGAUUAAGUGCUGCCCCAGCAGAGGGUUAUUUCAGACCCAUUAAGUCCAGAUCAUACAAAAAAAAUUACAAAAGAUACAAGGGAUAAGAAUAAGAAAACUUUAUUGAUCCCCGAAGGGAAACCAUAGCUAGAGAGCUCGCAUAGCUAGAGACCCGUUGUGUCUCUAGCUAUGUGUUCAUUUUAGCAGAGAGGCUUACAGAAUUUAAAGACUGAGACAACAACCCCCCCCACCCACCCCCCCACCCCCCCCCCACACACACACACACACCUGAAGAGCCAUGUGACAUUCUUGGACUAGCCUAGUGUCAAUAUAUUCUAUUAUACACAGAACGAAAAUGUCUCUCUCUAGUACGAAUCAACAUUUGUAGGUUUUGAAAAAUGUUAUGUUUAACUCCUUCACCACACUGUAAAAAACUCAAAAUCUACUCCCCAGCAUAAACUAGAAAAUGUGAAACCUGACUUCAUUUUCCAAAGAGUACUUCCCUUCAAACACAACAGCCAGUGGACUUCUUCACCCUUUGAGAUUGAAUGUGUCUAUUUAGCGAUUGUUUAGUUUGAAAAAGUUUAUCACAUCCAUGGCAGCUAUAGGGUCUUUCUCCAGUGUGAACUCUCAUGUGGGGGGCCAGUUCUUUUUUACUUUUGAAUGUUUUGCCACAUUCCGAGCAGUUGAAGGGUCUCUUAUCUGAGUGAACUCUCAUGUGAUUGGUCCUCAGCCUUUUUGUUUUAAACAAUUUACCACACUCUGGGCAGCUGAAGGGUCUCUCCUCUGAGUGAACCGUCUUGUGGUGCACCAGAUGGGUUUUUGUUUUAAAUGUACUGCCACAUUCUGGGCAGCUGAAGGCUCUCUCCUCUGUGUGAACUCUCAUGUGUCUUGCCAGGUCUCCUUUACUUUUGAAUGUUUUGCCACAUUCUGAGCAGCUGAAGGGUCUCUCCUCUGUGUGAACUCCCAUGUGAUUGGUCCUCAGCCUUUUUGUUUUAAACAAUUUACCACACUCUGGGCAGCUGAAGGGUCUCUCCCUUGUGUGAACGCUCAUGUGGCUUGCCAGUUCUCCUUUAGUUUUGAAAGGUUUGCCACAUUCAGAGCAGCUGAAGGGUCUCUCAUCUGAGUGAACUCUCAUGUGGCUUGCCAGGUCGUAUUUAGUUUUGAAUGUUUUGCCACAUUCAGAGCAGCUGAAGGGUUUCUCAUCUGAGUGAACUCUCACGUGUUGGGCCAGAUAAUUUUUAGUUUUGAAUGUUUUGCCACACUCUGAGCAGCUGAAGGGUUUCUCAUCCAAAUGAACUGCCAUGUGUUGUCCUAGUAAAUUUUUAGUUUUGAAUAUUUUGCCACACUCUGGGCAGCUGAAGGGUCUCUCCUCUGAGUGAACUUUCAGGUGGAUUGCUAGUUCUUGUCGUGUUUUGAAUAUUCGACAACACUUUGAGCAAACACGUGAUUUCUCAAGCCUCUUCAGCAUCUUCUUUUUCACUUUGUUUACAGACACUAGACUUGACUUUUGUGGUCUGGUAUCAUUCCAAUUCUCAUCACUGCCCUCAGUCUCAGGUUCAGGGGAGUCUUGAGUCUUUCGUUGUAUAUUUAUCCUUGAAUCUGAGUUACUGGCUGGUUCUUGUCCACCAUAAUUCUGUUCCUUGCAAAUGUUCGGGGGCUCAGUGUAUCCCUGGUCCAGAGUGGGACUCCUCUCCUGCUGCUCAGAGAGAAACUCUUUUUUCACCAACACCUGCUGGAUAUCUGCAAGGCACAGAAAAACAAUAAUGAAACAGAAGGUAAUGGAAACAUCAGCAGAUAUGAAAGCAGAUUUAAAAACUCAAUGAUAUUCUUAAGAAAGAUAAGAGAGAGUGUGGGGAUUAUGAACUAAUGUUACCACCUCUAGUGUUGGACUUAAUUAGCUCACCGGCUAAUUAUGUGCUGUCUCAGAGCAGCAGACUAUUUGUCAACAGUCCGGACAAGAACUGAACAAUGUCAGCAGCAUGGAUUUAGUCGAAGAGGCACCACUAAAUCUGUUACUUUUCUCGAAUCAGUUUCAGCAUUUGUUAUGAUGCUCAUUGUUGUGCUCCUGAAACUUCUCGGGCAAAAUUGUAUGGAUGCAGCCUGGUGCAAAAAGCUGCUGCACCAUAGUUCCAGGCAACCAAUCACAGUGUUGAUAAAACACUUAACCCAGGUAACCAAGAGCAGCAUUGUGAGAGUUCACACUAAGAGCUCAGAAUUCAGCUCACAUUUAGUUCACAUGGAUCCAAAUCAACUAGGUUCACAAUGAUAGUUUGUGUGUCUGUCAGCAGACCCCCCCAAACUUCAAUUCCUAAUCCCCUCACUGACAUUUAUUGAAGUAAAUAAUUAUUCAAUUGUACAUCACAAUUGGAGACAGACAUAUACUUUGGAAAAACAAGGAAAUUUCAGUGUUUUAAACAGUUUUUUUCCCUCGACCCAAUACCCUGCUAUAGUGGGUGAGAUGUUUAUCAAGCCCUCUAAAAUAAAGGGGCUUAAGGGUAAAGAAACACUGAAGAGACAAAGUUUUACCCCUCUGAAUCAGACAGGAUUUUAGCUCUUUUUAACUCUUGAACUACAAGUACUUGAUUUUUUUCCCUUUCCCAGCAGUUAAUAGGAUAAAACACUAUAGGACAGCUGUUGUAUUUGUUGUUGCGGUUGUGUAGUACUUCAUAUAUUCGUAAUAAAACUUUUCCUUGAAAACAAAUACUAUUUUUGCCCUAAAGUCAUUUCAGGUUUAAUCAUAUUAUUUUGCCAUUUUAUUAAUAUGGUUUAUUGCAGCCUGUGUGUGGCGCUUGCUUCAGUAAAGGCAUUGAAACAUGUAUCCAGAAGUGUAAGGAAAACUGACCUGCUCUGUGCAGCUUGAUUUCGGGUGUUAAAAUCACAGCCAGCAGUUUUUUCUGCCGGCGGAGCUCCUCUUCGUAUCCAGACUCUGUUCUAUUUUCGACCAGGUCCGUGAUUACCGCAGCCAGCAGCCGCCGAUUAAAUAAAUCAUCGAGAUCCUGAAAUCGGGACAUUUUCCUCAAACGCAAGAGCGAAAGCAGCGAAAACGGAACUUUGUGGUUACUGUGGUACCACUUGGACGACUUCCUCCUUCUCUUUUUACUUUAUGAGCGUUUUCUGGUGUGGAAACUGAGCUGAAUCCGGUUUGGAGCGAAAAUUUAAACCUCGGUAUCGGAUCACCAGGUUUGAGAAAGUCGCGGCUUAUUUGGCUCCAAUCCUUUGUUUGCAGAAUCUGGAUUUGGUUGAUUAUGGGAGGUCGAGCAGUAAUGUGUACUUCUUUAUCUCCUUCUUGGUUAACGGCGGAUGGCAACUAGUAGUACUGAUUUCGGUCGACGACACAAAGGCCCAAUUCCAAACUCCACCCUAAGCCCUCAAGCCCUGCACCCUCAUUAGCUUAGGUUAAGUCAGCUGGUAAGUGCUUGAGUGUGGGAGGGUUUAAGGGCUCCAAAAGGGUAUAAAAGCAAUGGAACAGCCCUUUGUGACGUGCCACGUUACCUUGACGAUAGACGACAACGUUGACAACCAAAGAUGCGACUGACACUUGCCUCUCUGGGCUCUUAAUUCUGCAUUUAUUUCGCGGCCAGCGACGUUGCAGAAGAAAGGCCAACAUUGUUCCGCUCCUUUUGCACACACUUGCUCUUGAACAUAGACAACAGGUAAUUGGUAAAUAAUGAUUAGAUUGAUAAAUUAUAAAACCAGCAUUAAUGAUAUGUUAAGUGAUAUUGAAUGGUUAAAAGGUUGAAGCACUAGAUUCUGAAAGUAAUCACUGCUUUAGAGUGUUAGUUCAGGAUAAAAUGUAUUGAUUCAGAUAAAAGUUUGAAGUAAAAAUCAAUUUUCUUUGUUAUAAGAAUAACGCAUGCGUGUGUGUAUGUGUGUGUGUGUAUAUAUGUAUGUAUACACACACACAUAUAUGUAUAUAUAUAUAUAUAUAUAUAUAUAUAUAUAUAUAUAUAUAUAUAUAUAUAUAUAUAUAUACAGUACAGGCCAAAAGUUUGGACACACCUUCUCAUUCAAUGUCUUUUCUUUUUUUUUAUAUGACUAUUUACAUUGUAGAUCAUUACUGAAGGCAUUAAAACUAUGAAUGAACACAUGUAGAAUUUUGUACUAAUAAAAAAAGUGUGAAAUAACCGAAAACAUGUUUUAUAUUCUAGUUUCUUUAAAAUAGCCACCCUUUGCUCUUGAUGACAGUGGUUCCUUGUCAGGGUUACUUCAGGCACUCCUGUGAAGUAAAAACCAUUUCAGGUGACUACCUCAUGAAGCUCAUUGAGAGAACAGCUUAAGUUUGCAGCGCUAUCAAAAAAGUAAAGGGUGGCUACUUUGAGAAAUCUAAAAUAUAAAACAUGUUUUCAGUUAUUUCACACUUUUUUCUUAAGCACAUGAUUCCACAUGUGUUCAUUCAUAGUUUUGAGAAUCUACAAUUUAAAUAGUAAUGAAAACAAAGAAAAUGCAUUGAAUGAAAAGGUGUGUCCAAACUUUUGGCCUGUACUAUAUAUAUAUAUAUAUAUAUAUAUAUAUAUAUAUAUAUAUAUAUAUAUAUAUAUAUAAUAUUAUAUCCAUGUUAAUGUAAUGCAUUCUUGUUCAUCUUGGCAUUCCGGCGCCCACCAUACACGAUGCGGAACAUCCAUGUUAGAGUAUUAAGGGUGCACCUAGAUCCUAAAUGAACUGCUUCUUCUUGAGCUUCUUCGCCAUGAUCUCCGUCAUUUUUGGUGUCUGUCGCGGACGUUGAGACGCUUGUGGCCUCGUUCCUUUUUAAAUCCUGGACCCGGCUGCGUCGCUGUCCUCCAGUAACGCCCACAACGCAAUGAAUUGUGGGCAAUUUCAUAGCCAAAGUCCUCAACGGUACGGACUUACGGAAAGGGUGCAGAAAGGGGCGUUCCCGAGCCCUCGCUGACUUACCGAUUUCAUUUGGAACAACCCUCAAGCCCUUACAGAGCUCACAUGAGCGCGCACCUAAGUCAAUGAGUCAGUGAGGGGGUGGUUUGGAAUUGGGCCAAAGAACUGGCAUGUGGGGAAUAGUGGGAAUUCACACAACGUCAUCUCCACUUCCGGUUUUAUAUAUAGCAGGGUCUCACCUCGAUGUUACUCAACUUCCGGUUUGCUUCCCGGUUAGCCAUAGGGGAAUUCUCUUUUUUUUCUUUCAUAUCAAAAAGUGGCAACUACAACUCCAGCAUUUCAAAUAAAGGAACAUUGAACAAACAACAUGGAGCACAGACUACCGUUUUCUCAUCCUCAGCACCCCCAAAGAAAUGUAAUGCUUAACCAGAGAUUGGGUGACCCCACCACAACAAAUCAUGGCCUUUACAACCUCCUGUUUUUUUUAUUUAUUUUUUUUUCUUGUAAAAUAACCAAGAAUUACUCUCACAGAAAGGUAGACAGUCAGCCUUUUCCAUUUCAAAGAGACAAAGAUGUUAAUUACCAGCAGGACCCCCAGACUGAACAAACAUUCACCCUUUCUCCUUGGCUGGAGAGUGUCGAAAUUGUCACUUCAGGCUUAAGGAUGGCUGAAGAGAGCAUGUGAACUCAACUCAAGAGGGCGCUUGGAGCACUCAUCCUUGAAAUAGACCCCAGCCAUAAACCCUCAGAGUGGCUGAUUCUUCCUGUAAUUCUCUUUACGUGCAGAGUAAAGAGAAUAACUGCAAAUGAUUUAAUGUCAGGUUUAAUGGACACUUCACAAGGAUUUUCUGUCUGUACACAACACAUCUUUGAGCCAGCUGAUUUUUCAGGGUAUGGAUGUUCUUCUUACUUUCUUCUUUUGCUUUUAAGUCAUCUGGAAUUAUGUUUUUAAGUUCUAAAAUCCAACCAGACAGACAAUUAAAAAUGUGUCGGUCUAUGCGUGGCUCGUCUUGGUGGUGGUGUUCCUGUACAAUUACAAGUGUCUAAUAGUUGAAUAGAAAGGAAAGCCACCUGUUGUCAUAUCUUAAACCCAUGUUGAUUCUUACUGUUUGGGUGUUUGCUCUAUUUCCAAUGCACAGACUUUAUCGUGGUCUACAAAAAUUUGUUAUACAACCUGACAGAGUACGUCAAGGUAUAUAUACUGUCACGAAACAGUAUUCCAGAUGAACAUUUAAAUUAAGCUGUUUGGGUUUGUGGUUUCUUGAUUGUUGUUUUUAUUCAGUGGUUGGUUGGUCAAAUUAAUUCUGAUGAAUUUGGUCUGCUGGCUAAGUGAGUAAAUUAAGUAGAUUAGACUAUUUUAAAUUUGCCUGUUUGCUGUCCUUGUUUGAUGUCACUUUGAACCCUACCAGAUGGGGAAAAUAUGAAUUCUUUCUCACUUUGUAAAGCUUAGCUGACACUUCACUGAUCAUCAACCAUGAGCUCCUACUCCUGCUCCUAGUAUUUCAAGGCUGGAAAUGUAAAACAUGUGAGUUUAAAAAUGUGAAUAAUUAAAUAAUGUAGCUGAACCUGUUGUGUUUAGUGUGCACAUAAAUGAUGAGAGAACAACAUUGUUUUGAGAUUUUCUUAAAAAGUGAUAUGAGUGGGUCUAUCUAGGCAUUUUCAAAAGCAAAUAUUUUAGUACUCAAACAAAAGUAACAUUUCAGCUAGCAAAUGUCCUUGUAUCUAAGUAGUUAUUGACUGAAUGUCUCUAUAAUUUGAAGUAGUAAUGUCUUUGUCCUCACUAUCUACCCUCUCUGUCCCCAUUAUCUACUUCAUAAUCUUCUAAACAAUCAAUUUUGGUCAUAAACCUAAUACAUUUUACUGUUAAUGUUAUUUAAGUUUAAGAGAGGUCUAAUGUGACAUCAAAAAGCCAGGACUCAAUACAAGUAUCUUCGGAAUUAUAAUAAGCGAGAUAACACACCUCACCCCACUGCAUUGCGUAAUUGUAGAGCACAGGACAGGAUACAGAAGAUUAAGUGCUGCCCCAGCAGAGGGUAAUUUCAGACCCAUUAAGUCCAGAUCAUACAAAAAAAAUUACAAAAGAUACAAGGGAUAAGAAUAAGAAAACUUUAUUGAUCCCCGAAGGGAAACCAUAGCUAGAGAGCUAGCAUAGCUAGAGACCCGUUGUGUCUCUAGCUAUUUUCAUUUUAGCAGAGAGGCUUACAGAAUUUAAAGACUGAGACCCCCACCCCCCCCCCCACCCCACCCCACACACACACACACACACACACACACACCUGAAGAGCCAUGUGACAUUCUUAGACUAGUCUAGUGUCAAUAUAUUCUAUUAUACACAGAACAAAAAUGUCUCUCUCUAGUAUGAAACAACAUUUGUAGGUUUUGAAAAUGUCAUGUUUAACUCCUUCACCACACAGUAAUCAACUCAAAAUCUACUCCUCAGCAUAAACUAGAAAAUGUGAAACCUGACUUCAUUUUCCAAAGAGUACUUCCCUUCAAACAGAGCAGCCAGUGGACUUCUUCACCCUUUGAGAUUGAAUGUGUAUAUUCAGCGCUUGUUAAGUUUUGUACAGUUUAUCACAUCCGGGGCAGCUAUAGGGUCUUUCUCCAGUGUGAACUCUCAUGUGGGAGGCCAGUUCUUUUUUACUUUUGAAUGUUUUGCCACAUUCUGAGCAGUUGAAGGGUCUCUUAUCUGAGUGAACUCUCAUGUGAUUGGUCCUCAGCCUUUUUGUUUUAAACAAUUUACCACACUCUGGGCAGCUGAAGGGUCUCUCCUCUGAGUGAACCGUCUUGUGGAGCAUUAGAUCGGUUUUUGUUUUAAAUGUAUUACCACAUUCUGAGCAGCUGAAGGGUCUCUCCCUUGUGUGAACUAUCAUGUGUCUUGCCAGUUCUCCUUUAGUUUUGAAAGGUUUGCCACAUUCUGGGCAGCUGAAGGGUCUCUCCUCUGAGUGAACUCUCAUGUGUCGUCCCAGUUCUCCUUUAGUUUUGAAUGUUUUGCCACAUUCUGAGCAGCUGAAGGGUCUCUCCCUUGUGUGAACUCUCAUGUGGCUUGCCAGUUCUCCUUUAGUUUUGAAUGUUUUGCCACACUCUGAGCAGCUGAAGGGUUUCUCAUCCGAAUGAAGUGCCAUGUGUUGUCCUAGUAAAUUUUUAGUUUUGAAUAUUUUGCCACAUUGUGGACAGCUGAAGGGUCUCUCCUCUGAGUGAACUUUCAGGUGUUUUUCUAGUUCUUGUCGUGUUUUGAAUAUUCGACAACACUUUGAGCAAACACGGGAUUUCUCAAGCCUCUUCAGCAUCUUCUUUCUCACUUUGUUUCUAGACAUUAGACUUGACUUUUGUGGCCUUGUAUCAUUCCAAUUCUCAUCACUGCCCUCAGUCUCAGGUUCAGGGGAGUCUUGAGUCUUUUGUUGUAUACUUAUCCCUGAAUCUGAGUGACUGGCUGGUUCUUGUCCACCAUAAUUCUGUUCCUUGCAAAUGUUUAGUGUCUCAGUGUAUCCCUGGUCCAGACUGGGACUCCUCCCCUGCUGCUCAGAGAGUAACUCUUUUUUCACCAACAUCUGCUGGAUAUCUGCAAGGCACAGAAAAACAAUAAUUAAACAGAAGUUGAUGAAAACAUCAGUAGAUAUGAAAGCAGAUUUAAAAACUCAAUGAUAGUCUAAAGAAAGAUAAGAGUUAGUGUGGGGAUUAUGAACUAAAGUUACCCCCUCUAGUGUUGGACUUAAUUAGCUCACUAGCUAAGUAUGUGCUGUCUCAGAGAAGCAGACUAUUAAUCAACAGUCAGGACAAGAACUGAACAAUGUCAGCAGCAUGGAUUUACUCGAAGAGGCACCACUAAAUCUGUUACUAUUCUCAAAUCACUUACAGCAUUUGUUAUGAUGCUCAUUGAUUGCUCCUGAAACUUCUCGGGCAAAACUGAAUGGAUGCAGCCUGGUGCAAAAAGCUGCUGCACCAUAGUUCCAGGCAACCAAUCACAGUGUUGAUAAAACACUUAACCCAGGUAACCAAGAGCAGCAUUGUGAGAGUUCACACUAAGAGCUCAGAAUUCAGCUCACAUUUAGUUCCCAUGGAUCGAAAUCAACUAGGUUGCAGUGAUAGUAUGUGUGUCUGUCAGCAGAGCCUCCCAAACUUCAAUUUCUAAUCCCCUCACUGACAUUUAUUGAAUUAAAUAAUUAUUCAAUUGUACAUCACAAUUGGAGACAGACAUGUAGUUUGAAAAAACAAGGAAAUUUCAGUGUUUUAAACAGUUUUUUUUCUUCCUGCCCCAAUACCCUGCUAUUGUGGGUGAGAUGUUUAUCAAGCCCUCUAAAAUAAGGGGGCUAAGGGUAUAGAAACACUGACGAGACAAACAUGAAAGUUGACUAUUCUAUCUGAAAAAGUUUUACCCCUCUGAAUCUGACAAUACAGAUUUACAUUUUGAAGUAGGCCACAGAGAUAAAUCUGGAACAUGUGCUUUUCUUGUGCCUUUUCAGAAUCAUCAUCAAACCAAUGUGUGACUCUUAAACUACAAAUACUUGACACAGUCCAGCAGUUAAUAGGAUAAAACAUGAUAGGAUAGCUGUUGUAUUUGUUGUUGCGAUUGUGUAGUACUUCAGAUAUUCGUAAUAAAAAAACUUUUUCCUUGAAAAGAAAAACUUUUUUUGACUUAAAAUCAUUCCAGGUUUGAUCAUAUUAUUUUGCCAUUUAAUUAAUGUGGUUUAUUGCAGCCUGUGUGUGGCGCUUGCUUAACUAAAGGCAUUGAAACAUGGAAAACUGACCUGCUCUGUGCAGCUUGAUUUCGGGUGUUAAAAUCACGGCCAGCAGUUUUUUCUGGCGGUGGAGCUCCUCUUCGUAUCCAGACUCUGUUCUAUUUUCGACUAGGUCCGUCAUUACCGCAGCCAGCAGCCGCCGAUUAAAUAAAUCAUCCAGAUCCUGAAACCCGGACAUUUUCCACAAACGCAAGAGCGAAAGAAGCGAAAACAGAACUUUGUGGUUACCGCGCUACCACGUGGACGACUUCUUCCUCUCCUUUUUUUUUCUUUAUGAGCGUUUUCUGGUGAGGAAACAGAGCGGAAUCCGUUUUGGGGCGAAAAUUUAAACCUCGGAAUCGGAUCAACAGGUUUGAAAAAGUCGCGGUGGAUUUGGCUCCGAUCUUUUGUUUGCAGAAUCUGGAUUUGGUCGAUUAUGGAGGUCAAGAAAUAUGCACUUCUUUAUCUCCUUCUUGGUUAACGGGGGAUGGCAACUUGUAGUACUGAUUUCGGUCGACGACCUAUAAAUAACUGGCAUGUGGGGAAUAGUGGGAAUUCACACGACGUCAUCUCCACUUCCGGUUUUACCUAUAGCAGGGUCGCACCUCGAUGUCACUCAACUUCCGGUUUGCUUCCCGGUUAGCCUUAGGGGAAUUCUCUUUUUUUUUCAUAUCAAAAAAUGGCAACUACAACUCCAGCAUUUCAAACAAAGGAACAUUGAACAAAUAACAUGGAGCACAGACUACCGUUUUCUCAUUCUCAGCUCCCCCAAAGAAAUGUAAUGCUUAACCAGAGCUUGGGUGACCCCACCACACCAAAUCGUGGCCUUUACAACAACCUGGUUUUUAUUUUUUUGUAAAAUAACCAAAAAUUACUCUCCCAGAAAGGUAGACAGUCAGCCUUUUCCAUUUCAAAGAGACAAAGAUGUUAAUUACCAGCAGGACCCCCAGACUGAACAAAUAUUCACCCUUUCUCCUUGGCUGGAGAGUGUCGAAAUUGUCACCUCAACCUUGAGGAUGGCCGAAGAGAGCAUGUGAACUCAACUCAAGACGGCGCUAGAAGCACUCAUCCUUGAAAUAGACCCCAGCCAUAAACCCUCAGAGUGGCUGAUUCUUCCUGUAAUUCUCUUUACGUGCAGAGUAAAGAGAAUAACUGCAAAUGAUUUAAUGUCAGGUUUAAUGGACACUUCACAAGGAUUUUCUGUCUGUACACAACACAUCUUUGAGCCAGCUGAUUUUUCAGGGUAUGCAUGUUCUUCUUACUUUCUUCUUUUGCUUUUAAGUCAGCUGGAAUUAUGUUUUUAAGUUCUAAAAUCCAACCAGACAGACAAUUAAAAAUGUGUCAGUCUAUGCGUGGCUCGUCUUGGUAGUGCUGUACAAUUAGAAGUCUCUAAUAAUUCCAGAUGAACAUUUAAUCCAAGCUGUUUGGCUUUGUGGUUUCUUGAUUGCUGUUUUUAUUCAGUGGUUGGUUGGUCAAAUUAAUUCUGAUGAAUUUGGUCAGCUGGCUAAGUGAGUAAGUUAAGUAGAUUAGACUAUUUUAAAUUUGCCUGUUUGUUGUCCUUGUUUGAUGUCACUUUGAACCCUACCAGAUGAGGAAAAUAUGAAUUCUUUCUCACUUUGUAAAGCUUAGCUGACACUUCACUGAUCAUCAACCAUGAGCUUCUACUCCGGCUCCUAGUAUUUCAAGGCUGGAAAUGUAAAACAUGUGAGUUUAAAGAUGUGAAUAAUUAAAUAACGUAGCUGAACCUGUUGUGUUUAGUGUGCACAUAAAUGAUGACAGAACAACAUUGUUUUGAGAUUUUCUUAAAAAGUGAUAUGAGUGGGUCCAUCUAGGCAUUUUCAAAAGCAAAUAUUUUAGUACUCAAACAAAAGUAACAUUUUAGUUAGCAAAUUUCCUUGUAUCUAAGUAGUUAUUGACUGAAUGUCUCUAUAAUUUGAAGUAGUAAUGUCUUUGUCCUCACUAUCUACCCUCUCUGUCCCCAUUAUCUACUUCAUAAUCUUCUAAACAAUCAAUUUUGGUCAUAAACCUAAUACAUUUUACUGUUAAUGUUAUUUAAGUUUAAGAGAGGUCUAAUGUGACAACAAAAGACCAGGAAUCAAUACAAGUAUCUCCGGCAUUCUAAUAAGUGAAUUUAGAAAAAAAAACACACCUCGCUCCACUGCAUUGCAUAAUAGGAGAGCACAGGACAAGAUACAGAAGAUUAAGUGUUGCCCCAGCAGAGGGUUAUUUCAGACCCAUUAAGUCCAGAUCAUACAAAAAAAAAGAAAAAUACAAGGGAUAAGAAUAAGAAUAAGAAUAACUUUAUUGAUCCCUGAAGGGAAAUCCAAUUGUCUGUCGUCUCACUGGUCAUGUCUCAAAAGUCAUCUACUAUUUAUAAAAGAGUUGUGAAGUCUGAUGGCUGUGGGUACAAAAGAUCUUCUCAAUCUUUCUGUCCUGCAGUAGAGAGAGAGGAGCUGUCCACCACCAUUGGCCCUUUGGUCCAUUAAGGUGUUGUGAAGUGGUUGAUCCAUGUUCUUUAAAAUAGCCUCCACCUCCCUCAGUCUACAUUUCUCCACCACAUCCUCCAACACAGCCAGCCUUUUUCACCAGUAUGUUCAGACGUUUUGCAUCUUUGUGUUUGAUGCUUUCUCCCCUGCAGACUGCAGCGCAGAACACAACACUUGCCACCACAGACUGAUAAAACAUCUGCAGCAUCUUACUACAGAUGUCUAUUAAUCGAAGUCUUCUCAGGGGAAAAGAGGCGGCUCUGCCACUUUCUGUAGGUGAAGUCUAUGCUCUUAGACCAGUCCACUCUACAUGCUUGUUUUUUUCUGCGUUUGUAGACACACUUGUUCGGUCUCUAACUAUGUGUUCAUUUUAGCAGAGAGGCUUACAGAAUUUAAAUACUGAGACUGAGAGAGUUUAUUACAUCCAGGGCAGCUCUAGGUUCUUUCUCCAGUGCAAACUCUCAUGUGUUUUAUCAAUGCAGGUUCUCUUUGGAAAGUUGUGCCACACUCUGAGCAGCUGUAGGGUCUCUCCUCUGAAUGAACUCUCAUGUGUUGUCCCAGUUCUCCUUCUCUUUUGAAUGUUUUGCCACAUUCUGAGCAGCUGAAGGGUCUCUCCUCUGAGUGAACCCUCAUGUGGCUUGCCAAGUUGUAUUUAGUUUUGAAUGUUUUGCCACAGUCUGAGCAGCUGAAGGGUCUCUCAUCUGAGUGAACUCUUAUGUGGCUUGCCAGUUCUCUUUUAGUUUUGAAUGUUUUGCCACAUUCUAAGCAGCUGAAGGGUCUCUCAUCUGAAUGAACUCUUAUGUGUUGUCCCAGAUCUCCUUCUCUUUUAAAUGUUUUGCCACAUUCUGAGCAGCUGAAGGGUCUCUCUUCUGAGUGAACCCUCAUGUGGCUUGCCAGUUUUUCUUUAGUUUUGAAUGUUUUGCCACAUUCUGAGCAGCUAAAUGGUCUCUCAUCUGAGUGAACUGCCAUGUGCCGUUCCAGAUGACUUUUUGAUAUAAAUGUUUUGCCACACUCUGAGCAGCUGAAGGGUCUCCCCUCUGAGUGAAAUGCCAUGUGUUGUCCCAGUUCUCCUUUAGUUUUGAAUGUUUUGCCACAGUCUGGGCAGCUAAAGGGUCUCUCCUCUGAAUGAACUCUCAUGUGUUUUGUCAGUACUCUUUCAGUUUUGAAUGUUUUGCCACAUUCUAAGCAGCUGAAGGGUCUCUCCUCUGAGUGAACUCUCAUAUGGCUUGCCAGUUCUCUUUCAGUUGUGAAUGUUUUGCCACAGUCUGGGCAGCUGAAGGGUUUCUCAUCUGAGUGAACUCUAAUGUGGAUUGCCAGUUCUCUUUCAGUUUUGAAUGUUUUGCCACAUUCUAAGCAGCUGAAGGGUUUCUCAUCUGAGUGAACUCUCAUGUGUCUUGCCAGUUCUCCUUUAGUUUUGAAUGUUUUGCCACAUUCUGAGCAGCUGAAGGGUCUCCCCUCUGAGUGAAGUCUCAUGUGGCUUGCCAGUUCUCCUUUAGUUUUGAAUGUUUUGCCACAUUCUGAGCAGCUGAAGGGUCUCUCAUCGGAGUGAACUCUCAUAUGGCUUGCCAAGUUGUAUUUAGUUUUGAAUGUUUUGCCACAUUCAGGGCAGCUGCAGGGUCUCCCCUCUGAGUAAACUCUCAUGUGGUUUGCCAGUUCUCCUUUAGUUUUGAAUGUUUUGCCACAUUCUGAGCAGCUGAAGGGUCUCUCAUCGGAGUGAACUCUCAUAUGGCUUGCCAAGUUGUAUUUAGUUUUGAAUGUUUUGCCACACUGUGGGCAGCUGAAGGGUCUCCCCUCUGAGUGAACUUUCAGGUGGAUUGCUAGUUCUUGUCGUGUUUUGAAUAUUCGACAAAACUUUGAGCAAACAUGUGAUUUCUCAAGCCUCUUUAGCAUCUUCUUUCUCACUUUUUUCACAGACAUUAGACUUGACUUUUGUGGCCUUGUAUCCUCCCAAUUCUCAUCACUGCCCUCAGUCUCAGGUUCAGGGGAGUCUUGAGUCUUUCGUUGUAUAUUUAUCCCUGAGUUGUUACUGGCUGGAUCUUGUCCUCCAUAAUUCUGUUCCUUGCAAAUGUUCGGGGGCUCAGUGUAUCCCUGGUCCAGAGUGGGACUCCUCCCCUGCUGCUCAGAGAGAAACUCUUCUUUUUUCACCAACACCUUCUGGAUAUCUGCAAGGCACAGAAAAACAAUAACUAAACAGAAGUCGAUGAAAACAUCAGUAGAUAUGAAAGCAGAUUUAAAAACUCAAUGAUAGUCUAAAGAAAGAUAAGAGUUAGUGUGGGGAUUAUGGACUAAUGUUUCCCCCUCUAGUGUUGGACUUAAUUAGCUCACCAGCUAUGUAUGUGCUGUCUCGGAGAAGCAGACUAUUUGUCAACAGUCCUGACAAGAACUGAACAAUGUCAGCAGCAUGGAUUUAGUUGAAGAGGCACCACUAAAUCUGUUGUUAUUCUCAUAUCAGUUUCAGCAUUUGUUAUGAUGCUCAUUGUUGUGCUCCUGAAACUUCUCGGGCAAAACUGAAUGGAUGCAGCCUGGUGCAAAAAAGCUGCUUCACCAUAGUUCCAGGUAACCAAUCACAGUGUUGAUAAAACACUUAACCCAGGUAACCAAGAGCAGCAUUGUGAGAAUUCACACUAAGAGCUCAGAAUUCAGCUCACAUUUAGUUCACUUGGAUCGAAAUCAACUAGUUCACAUCGAUAGUUUGUGUGUCUGUCAGCAGAGCCUCCCAAACUUCAAUUCCUAAUCCACUCACUGACAUUUAUUGAACUAAAUUAUCAUUAAAUUGUAUAUCACAAUUGGAGACAGACAUGUACUUUGAAAAAACAAGGAAAUUUCAGUUUUUUUUCUUCCCCAAUACCCUGCUAUAGUGGGUGACAUGUUUAUCAAGCCCUCUAAAAUAAGGGGGCUAAGGGUAUAGAAACACUGAAGAGACAAACAUGAAAGUUGACUAUUCUAUCUGAAAAAGUUUUACCCCUCUGAAUUAGCCUGCUGGGCAGCACAAAAACGAGAAAUGCUGACUGACAAUACAGAUUUACAUUUUCAAGUAGGCCACAGAGAUAAAUCUGGAACAUGUGCUUUUCUUGUGUCUUUUCAGAAUCAUCAUCAAACCAAUGUGUGACUCUUAAACUACAAAUACUUGACACAGUCCAGCCAUUAAUAGGAUAAAACAUGAUAGGAUAGCUGUUGUAUUUGUUGUUGCGAUUGUGUAGUACUUCAGAUAUUCGUAAUAAAAAAACUUUUUCCUUGAAAAGAAAAACUUUUUUUGACUUAAAAUCAUUCCAGGUUUGAUCAUAUUAUUUUGCCAUUUAAUUAAUGUGGUUUAUUGCAGCCUGUGUGUGGCGCUUGCUUCAGUAAAGGCAUUGAAACAUGGAAAACUGACCUGCUCUGUGCAGCUUGAUUUCGGGUGUUAAAAUCACAGCCAGCAGUUUUUUCUGGCGGCGGAGCUCCUCUUCGUAUACAGACUCUGUUCUAUUUUCGACUAGGUCCGUCAUUACCGCAGCCAGCAGCCGCCGAUUAAAUAAAUCAUCAAGAUCCUGAAACCCGGACAUUUUCCACAAACGCAAGAGCGAAAGAAGCGAAAAUCGAACUCUGUGGUUACCGCGGUACGUGGACGACUUCUUCCUCUUCUUUUUUCUUUAUGAGCGUUUUCUGGUGUGGAAACAG